rnacentral:rRNA from 1 species
UACGAAGGGGGCUAGCGUUGCUCGGAAUCACUGGGCGUAAAGCGCACGUAGGCGGCUUUCUAAGUCAGGGGUGAAAUCCUGGAGCUCAACUCCAGAACUGCCUUUGAUACUGGAGAGCUUGAGUCCGGAAGAGGUGAGUGGAACUCCGAGUGUAGAGGUGAAAUUCGUAGAUAUUCGGAGGAACACCAGUGGCGAAGGCGGCUCACUGGUCCAUUACUGACGCUGAGGUGCGAAAGCGUGGGGAGCAAACAGG